GCCCUCCCCAGUGCCCAGGGCAGAGCUAGGGCCAAUAGCUCAGGGCCUGGGGCUCUCCAACCGAAAGCUGAGAGGAACUGCAGAGGGGUCCUGGGGGCUCAUGGCCAGGAGAGGGGCCCCUUCUCGUGCCUCCUCAGGGCGGUGCAGUCCCCGCCAUGAGCAUCACAGCCAAGGGGAGGGGACGGGAAAAGAGGGCAGGGGAGGUCCCAGGGACAGGGUCAGAGAGAGGACAAGGUGAGGGCUGUUGUCAGCAGCAGAGCUGUGCAAGCUUCACUGCGGCAGCCUGUGUUACUGUUUCUUGUCCCCACCUUGGGCAGGGCCCAGUCCCAUUCCUCUCAGGACGGGUGGUAGAGGUCCUGCCCCCUCCUCCGUCUUUGGGGUUCCAG
rnacentral:lncRNA from 10 species